CACAAAACUUGCCAAUUGGUUGGUUAUUUCUCUCGUUCCUCGAUCAAAUUUAGAUAAAAAUCGAAACUCGGAAGCUUUUGCUACAGUAUCUACAGGAGCUCUAUAAUCUGCAAGACUUCUCCCCUUCGCAUCACUUCAAUCUCCCAAAUUCGUUUCCCAUUCUCUUUCAAAUCGGUGCCUCAAGUCUCGUGCUAGUACUAUCGCCACAAAUUUCGCCUUCAAGUCAUGAAACAGUGUCCUCCGUGAAUCGCGUUUUCUUGUAAGAGCCAUUGCAGAACAGUUUUCACUGCUACCGGUGAGCCGGUCUUGUUCAAGGAUCUCUGAGACCUGAUACAGAUACAAACGCUUCGACAAUCAGUUCAAUUUCUCUAACAGACACAACCUAACAAUCAACACAGUCAGAUGGAAUAGGCUCAAGUAACACAUGUAGAGCCAUAUACAGAGAAAAUAAUGAAAUUAUGUAAUAUAUAAUUAUAAACUUGUAUUGAUAUUAAUGUAACAAAAUACUAUUUGAUUCAAAAUAAAAAUAGUUUUCUGAUAA